CACCUCGCAGGGGCCCUCAGGGGGUAGAAGUGAGAGUUCUGGCCUGGAGGACCGGGUCUCAUUUCCUGCGGGACAUCCUACAGGUCGCUUCCCUCCGUGGGCCUCAGUUUCCCCAUCUGGCAGCCGAGCUCGUCACACCGGGACAGGCACGCUUGAAACCAGCCACCAUGCUGUAAGGAAGCCCAAGCCCUGCGGAGAGAUGACGUGACGCAUUCUGGCUGACGUCUCCAGUUAGGGCUCUCAGUUCACAACCAGCAUCACUCAGAUAGGUGAUGAACUGACAUCAUCCCAGCUGCCAGCCUCUGAGUCUUCUAGCCAAAGUCCCAGACGUGGAGCAGAGACAAGCCAACCUUGCCGUACCCUGUCUGAAUUUCUCUCCCACAGAAACUGAGAGAUAAGAAGCGAUCAUUAUUGUUUUAAGCCAGUGGGAGAUGGAGUGACCACCAACAACAUGCAUUCCUAAGGUGGUCUGAUGGAGUGUGGGGCUCCAGCGAGGAAGUGGAGCCCUGGGCAGGAGGCAUCUCAUCAGGGAGACAGUCUGUUAUCUGAGAAAGCCAAGGCUUCCUGUUGGGCUCCCCUUGGGCAAAUGCCUGGCAUGGACAAAGGAAGAUGAUGAAAUAACAACCAUGAUGAAUGGCCACUGAAUGCUUUGCACACGCUGAAGAGCUUUCUGUGGAUUAUUUCACUGAAACCUCAGAGCAACUCUAUGAGGUCCCAGCUUUGUGGUCCUGGCCAGUAGUGGAUCCUUGAAACCUUCAGAUUGGGCACUGUCCUUGGCCACAAUACUCUCUGUUGAAGACUUUAUCCCCUCUCACAGGGAAGAACAAAGAGGGGUGAGGAAGAAAGAGAACUCAAUCCUGCUGAGCUUUGAGCCGAAUAAGCCUCUACUUGUUGUGGUCCAUUGGAAAAUAGAGUCCUGUUCCUUAAUAGAGUCGUAUAGCUUGGGAAACUGAGACCCAGGAGGCAGGAGAGGCCCCAUGUAGGCGAUGACACCAAACACUGAGCCCGUGGGCUCCACUGCCUUGGGGACAAACAUCACGGCCGUGACACUCAUGUCAUGCUCCAGCCUCUAACAUUGCCAGCCUCUGGCUGCCAGCCUUUCGAUGAUGUAGGAUUUAGAGCCAAAAAACAUUAUGUCAGCUGCUCAGUGGCAUCCAUUAUCACAUUACCACAAAUAACUUAAUCAAGUACUAUAAAUUUAAAUGUGUUUUUCUCAUCUUAAUAUUUCCAGAAUUAGAAUGCAACUUAGAAGAGAUAAGUACAUUUGAUAUAUUGCUUUAGUUAAGAAAACUUUUAUGGAAUUGAUGGCAUGUGUUAUAAUUGUUGGUGUCUUAGAAUUGAGAGAAUGUGGUGCUAAGGCUCUAAAAGAAUGGGGACACUGCACAGGUACAUUUUGAUAGAUGAUAAGGAGCUUAGGAAAUGUGAAAAUGAGGAUAAAUUCAUAAGCACUGAAUAAUCAUAACUGAUACUACUUACUGGGUGCUUAUUUUGUGCCAAUUAUACAUUUUCUCUAAUUCUUAAAUAAUCCCCACAGGAAGAUAAUGUGAUUUUAGUCAUUUUAAACCUAUGUAUAUGAUAGUCUCCACACUGUGGCCUUUUUCUUGAGUAACAGCUUUAUUGAGAUAUAAUUCACAUGCCAUGAAAUUCACCUUUUUAAAGAGUACAAUUGAGUAGAUUUUAGGAUAUUCACGGGGUUGUGCCUAUAGUCUCUUUACCUGAAUUUCUUGGGGAUCUGAACUUAUCAUCUCUUAUAUCUGCCAUCAUUCUCUCAUAGUGUACUAUUUCCUUGUGAGUUUUAUAAUUUUGGAUUGUGAGCUUAUCUUUAGUGACAUUUUAUGUGUGGAAAUCCUCUAUCAAUUGGAUCGAGCAAUUGGAUCCCCAUCCUCCAGAGGGGGACCUGACUCACAGGUUCCAGUGAGGGAAUUGGUGGCUUCGCUGCCUGGACCUCAGCAUACAUGUGGCUACUGAGGAAUGCCAAAGACCAUAAAGCCUUGUGCACAUAUUUGGAUUGUUGUCAGCAGCCCCAGUGGCCCCUCCACGCUGGGGGACAAGUUCCCCGAGCGCAGGGGCUUAUCUUACUUUGCUCACCACUGCUCCUCUUGUGUCUAUAUCAGUGCCAGCUUUGGUAGGUGUCCAAUAGGUAGCCGUUAGAGAAAUUAGUCAUCCCUUGGAGAUUACAACAGGACGUCUUUGGGUACCAUUAUUCGGCCAACCUCAGAAGGGGUCUUAUGAUCUUUUCAACUUUCUUAACAUUCUAGAAAAAGAGACAGAAGUCCAAUGAGGCCUCCUGGCAUGUAGCCUCAUCUUCUUUCCAUCCUACCUACUACCUUGGAAAGGAGGGGCAAGGUUGGUGGAGACAGAGUUCUAGCAGGAGUUGCUGUGGGAAAUGCCAGUUCACUCAGAGGUAUCCAGUAGUCCUCAAUCUGGAUACCUAAGCCAAGGAUGGAAAGAGCGAUGGCUCUGUUCACUUUACAAGUAUUUAUCGAGCGCCUUUUGUGUACCGCGUGUUAUGCUGAGCUCAGCCACGAGGGGAGUAAGACCCAACACCUGUUAUAUGUUGGGAGAGAGGCACAAGCUUUGGAAUAGGACAGGUGUUGAGUUUGAAUCCAUUUCCUCUACUUAUGUCCUAUAUGACCCUGGUUAAAUUAAUCUCAGCAAUAAUUUCUUUAUUCAUAAAAUAGCAAUUGUCAUUCAUUCUUUAUAUUACAUGGUGAGCAUCAAAAAAUUCUGCUUUGGUUUUUCCCUAAUCCUGGAACCAGCACUUAAUUGUGUGACUUUGUAACUGGCAGGCCUCCUGGGUCUCAGUUGACUUCCCUUUGGAAUAGGGAUUUCACUCCAAGCGAGAGACUGGAGAACACUUGCUAAGCACUUUCCUCCUCAGCUCUGGCCACUUUUGCAAGAGCAGGAGUCUGUAAAUAGCCAGAUGCAAGUGGGCCUGGGGUGCUCCUGGGCCCUACCUGUCUGCCUCAAGGGUGAAGGGGAGGUUUCACUGUGUGUAUGUAACCCAUUGGCGCCCCUGGCACCCAGGUUGGAAAGUUCCACUUUGGAAGGCUGUAGGAGGACUAAAUGACAUGAUCUAUGGCAGUGUUUCUUAACAACCACACCACUAAUGUUUUAAGCUAGAUAACUCUUUGUCGUGGGUAUUGUUCUGUACUUGGUAGAAUGUUUCACGGUGUCUCUGGUUUCUACCCACUAGAUGCCAGUAGCAACUCCCAGUUGUGACAAUCAAAACUGGUUUUAGGCAUUGCCAGAUAUCCUCUGGGGGACAAAAUAGUUGCUGGUUGAGUUAUAUGGAAAAGCACUCUGUAAGGCUAAAUGUGUGAGCUAUCAUCCUUGUAAUGAAUUACUAUUACUAUAGUGCCAAAUGCUGACAAUAUGCUACCUUUGAGGCAGUGCGUGAACAUUUUUUUAAAAUGGGGCCUGAGUGGGGAAGGGGCAGAGAGAGUGGGAGACACAGAAUCCAAAGCGGGCUCCAGGCUCUGAGCUGUUGGCACAGAGCCCAAUGCGGGGCACGAACUCACCAACUGCAAGAUCAUGACCUGGGCUGAAGUCAGACACUUAACCUACUGAGCCACCCAGGCGUCCCAGAAUUUAACACAUUAACCAAAGCCCUAUGGAGACAAUCUGAGAUCAAGUUUAAAUGGGGAAAUUUGAGAAAACCUUAGCAAACAGGCAAGGAGAGUGCUUUAAAACAGCUGGACAGCACGUUGUCUGCAGCAGACUAGGCUGAAAGGGACAAGAGACCCUGUUCUGGUCUCAGCUGCCUCGCCACCUGCUGGGCGGCCCCAGGCAAGUCCCUCUCCUCUUGAGCCUCCGUUUCCUCACUCGAUGGACUCUGAGAUCCCAGAGCAGAUGUCCGUCUGCUCUGACCAUCAAAACGACCACAGAUCGGGGAGCGAGGUCCUCCAGCAGGAUCUGGGAAGAUGGCCUAUCUCUCUGUGGCAGUUGGGAAUGGGGCACGAUUUGGAGCCAAGGUGGAUCCACGUGGAUAAAGGGUCGCCAAAGCUAAUUAAAGAUCAGUCGUGGCCCUGCACCCCAUGGCAGAAGACAUGGCCUUCCUAGGCUUGGUGGGGUUUUUUGUUUUUGUUUUUUUCUUAAAAAAAGCUACUUAAAACCAAACAGAGUAUAACUGUUUCUGCUUUCUAGGGAGGAAAGAAUCAUUCAAAUGAGUAAGGAAAUAAAGCUCUCUAUUCCUUUCUUCCUCUAGCUAAGACCUGUGAGAGGAAGAGGAGAAAGACAGAAAGGUCCAAACACCUGCCGUGUUUUCUGUGGCUGAGCAGUGAGGCCUGUAGUAACUAACUGGUCUUUGCAGAGCCCAGCAGAGGGCUUCAGAGGGUCAGGUGAGCCCAGAGCAAGGACAACCAGGGGCCUAGAUCAUCCUGCACAAUAAAUUGAGGGAGUUGAGUUUCUGAGGGAACUUGAGAGGAAAGGCAGAUGGGAGAAAAGGGCACCAGAGUGUCAUGAGGGUCACAUCGGGUUGCUGAUGUGACCAAAUAAAACUCCUCCAAACUUCCAAAAAUGUUUGCUAUGCACCAAAAUGACUGCCUGUGCCUGCAGUGGUUGAGAGGGUGGCUAUUUAGGAAAUGGAGCUGGACAGCAAGGCCAGCCCGAGAGUGUUCGAUUCCUGAGGCUGCUACAAAUGAGGGGGCUUAAACAACAGAAAUUUAUUCUCUCACAGCUGUGGAGGACAGGAGUCCCUAGUCAAGGUGUCAGCAGAGCCAUGCUCUUUCUGAAGGCUCUAGGGAAGAAUCUUUCCCUCCCAGCUCUUCAUUUCUGGUGGCUGCUGGCAACCCUUGGCACUCCUUGGCUGACUCUGAUCUGUUUCUGUCGCCACAUGGCUUUCUUCUCUGCAUGUCUGUGUCCCUGUGGAUCCUCUCCUCUUCUUACAGGGACAUCAGUUGCAUAGGAUCUAGGGUACCCCCAAUCCAGUAUGACUUUAUUUUGACUAAUUACAUCUGGAAAGACCCGAUUUCCAAAUAAGUUCAUAUUCUGAGGUUCCAGGCGGACAUGCACUUUUGGGAGGCACGCUAUUCAGCCCAGUUCACGAAAUGAGAGGCACUGUGAUCCGUAAGUGGAAUCCUGGGGAAAGCAGAAUGACCCCAGGCCCUUCCCCCACCCCCAUCCUUGCAUCACAUGCAUGCAGGGUGUGGCCUUGCACCUGUGUAGUGGACUUUGGAGCAGGUGAUUCAUGCCCAGAGUUCUUUUCAGAUGACUGCUGCACAGUUAAUGGCUUGCACUAACCAGCUCCCGUGGCCUUCCAUCCAAGGGUCCUGCUGGUCCCGGGCAAAGCAUCCUCUUGUUUGCAGUAUGUAUUAAUAGUGAGUAUUUGUUGUCUGUGGUCUCUGCCCUGGGCUUCCAGUUCCCUUCUUUGAGUACAUAGCUCUUGGAUCCCCUUUUGGAGAUGUGUCCUCCUUACUCUUAGUCUACAUAGGGCCCCAUCCGAGGCUUCCGAGCCUGGUCAAUAAACAUAUUCAAUCCCCCUGGUCACAAAGGUGGAUGGGCACAUGCUUCAAAUUAAUGCAAUCACAGUGAUUCCCUGAACUUGUACAGAAAAGGAGAAUUCUUUCUUCUAGUUUUGAACCUGCAACCCUGCAGUUUGGACCUCUAGCAGCCACUUUGCCAUUGUGAGGUCAGAACUUCCCAGAGAAUGGACCUCACAUAGAAAAAGUGGAAUCAAAAGAUCAACAGAGAGAAAUUGGGGUUUGAUGUUCUCAGUAGCCCCUAGAUCAAGCCUUGCCUGAAGCUCUACUAUUGGUCUUUUUAGUUAUCUGAGUCAUUAAAUUACCACCACCUCUCUUCCUUACUUUGCUUGAGCCAUGAGUUUGAGUCAUAUUUUCUGUCACUAGUACAGAAAGUUUAUUAAUUAUAAUUGACUUAGAAUGGAUCCACCAGACUGGGCUUUAUAAUUUGUUUGGUUGGAAUGCUUCUUUUUGUUUAUCUAUGGAACAACCCAGAUUAAGAAGUGGAUGGCAUGCCCCUGUGGAGUGUCAUUGCAGGCCCCUGGUAGAGUAGAGUAGAGCCUUCAUCAGAUAUAUAUUUUUUAAGUUUAUUUAUUUAUUUGGAGAGAGAGAGGAGGGGCAGAGAAAGAGA